GGGCCGCUAGCUCAGUUGGCAGAGCAUCAGACUUUUAAUCUGAGGGUCCAGGGUUCGAACCCCUGGCGGCUCA
rnacentral:tRNA from 1 species